GUUUUCACAAUGACUCCAGUUAUCCUCGUGUGCCUCACCCUUGUUCUUAUUGCAGGACAAGCAUCAUCAUUGCCAACAUCAACGAGGCUGCCGAUACGAAUUAGCAGGUCAAGUGAGUUAGGAGGUCACUCUGUCACAUCAAUCGACACAGACGGCGAUGCGACCAUCGAUUACGAGGACGACAACAUCAAGUUCGUCCAAGGACAGGUUUUGCGAGCUGUAACAAAGACACCGG